CGGCACCACACACCAUACCUCGAUAAUAAAUAACAACAAACGAAAGGAAAGUUGUCUACGCCUCCACCGUUCACGACUGUGUCCUCUGUUCAGGGAAAUAACGAGAGCCAACUCUGGUAGGUUACUUCUGUGCUGAGUGAAAGCUGUGCGUCUUGACCUUGACCUCUGCCACUGAUGGGGAAGACGAGCAAGAUCCUCCUGUGUGGGCGGUCUGGGGUGGGCAAGACAGCCGUCCUGGAGCAACUCCUCUAUGGCAACCACAUCGUGGAGGCGCCCACUCAUUCCACAUUGGAAGACAUCUACACCGCAGUGAUUGAGACAGACCGGGGGGUCAAAGAAAAGGUUCGAAUAUUUGAUGUUGGAAUGCCGGAAGGAAAGGACACAGAGUUGCCUCGCCACUACCUCAACUUCCCAGACGGUUUCAUUCUAGUGUAUGACGUCACAAGCUUUGAGUCGUUCAAACUUCUGGACCGACUGAAGAAAGACAUGGACAAACACAAGGACAAAAGAGAGGGUCAUAUCGUUGUCAUUGGCAACAAGAGUGAGCUGACGGAGAGAAGAGAGGUCCAGUUUCAGACGGCCAUGGCCUGGGCCUCCAAGGAAAAAGUUCGUCUUUGGGAAGUGUCGGUGCCCAACAGGAAGUCCCUUGUAGAACCGUUUGUGUGGCUCACCUCCAAGAUCACCCAGCCCACAGGUAAAAGCAACUUCCUCCCCGGUCGUAAGACGAAGUCGUCUGCCAGUGGGAACCUGGACACCAGCUGAUGGGGGAAUGUUGUUCCGGAGCUUGUGUCUCGUCUGAGGUCACGUGAUACAACAGUGGGAGUGUCUGGUCUGACGUCACGUGAUACAACAGUGGGAGUGUCUGGUCUGACGUCACGUGAUACAACAGUGGGAGUGUCUGGUCUGACGUCACGUGAUACAACAGUGGGAGUGUCUGGUCUGAGGUCACGUGAUACAACAGUGGGAGUGUCUGGUCUGACGUCACGUGAUACAACAGUGGGAGUGUCUGGUCUGACGUCACGUGAUACAACAGUGGGAACCUGGACACCAGCUGAUGGGAGAAUGAUGUCGUUGAUGGGUCUGGUCGUGUGCACGCUUGUGUCUCGUCUGGAUUUUUGGAACUAUGUGGCUCACCUAACUUGUUGGAUUUUGUAUUUUAUCAGUUUUAGGGCUAAUCUAUGAAUGUGAUGCUGUGGGGGUUUUGUUGAUAAAAGGGCUUUGUUAUUACCACAUCAUAAGACUGUCUUGUCUCGGGUCUUGUACACAGAACCAAACGUAAAUCCUAACUCUGAACGUUGUUUUGUCUGUGGCAGGCUAUAUCGGAAAUGUCAUUGUCAAUGUCUCUGUGGGUUUUAUUGGGACUCCAGUAGCUGCAGUGUCACCUGAAAACUUAGAAGAGCAGAAUGUUCAAGGUUUAUUUGGAUUCUAUGGUGGUGCUCCAGAAAUAUAAAACAUUUGUAAUCUGUUUGCAGAAGAAAGAAAGAAGGUUUAGGUGGCUACACUAGACUUUUUUCCCUUCAGCAUUUACAACGAUUAAGUUUGCCUCCUGUCUUUUACAGUUUGCUCAUGUUCUUAGUCCAAUUUUAUAUCUUACAUUCAGUGUGUGCUAUUAAUACAGAUUUUUUACUAGGAUCCAAUCAUAUUGUAAACUCUACUAGACACCGUCGUGGGUUCUUUGUUUUCUCAUUGGUCGAGCCACAAGAUUGGAGAUCUCUCGCCCAGGAUGUUCUUGACUGUCUCUCACUUAGAA
rnacentral:misc_RNA from 1 species